rnacentral:tRNA from 1 species
UGGGAUAGCUCAGCUGGUAGAGCAUGAGACGCUUAAUCUCAGGAUUGUGGGUUCAAGCCCCACACUGGGCAAAA